UAGAAUUAUGCUCAUAGACAUCACGACAAUUAAAUCGGUGAGAAAUACACGCGAUGUAAAACAAUGUCAUUAACAUCGAUUCCUCAAAAACCGAUUUGUAUGCAUAUAACUGACAUCAUUUUUUACUGUUGACCGAUGUCUAUAUUUUGAUUCUAAAAUUUUCAAAAACGCGGAAACACUAAGUUAAAAAUUUUCAGGAACGCGGGGAACAAAAUUUUCAUUCCCCACACUUAAAAUUUUUCCAACUCACUUUCUCUCCUCUUAUUCCCCGAACCCUAGCCCUCUCCUCCUUCCUCUCCCACUCUCUUUCCACAGCCACCACCGCUUCCCCCUCAUCCGCUCACUCCCGCUAUUAUCUCUCUCUCUUUCUCUCUCUCUCUCUCAUUAACCGCCUCCGCCCCCUUGCCGGCGCCAUCACCUCCACGAGCAAGCUCUCUCUCUCUCUCUCUCGGAUUUCGGAUCUCGGAUCUCGAAAGACUGAAAGAAGGCAAAGAACCCUUCAGUUUCAGUUCUCAGUUACCGACAUUCAGAAACCGGAGAUGGGAUCUGGUGCUGGAAGUUUCCUCAAAGUUCUCCUUAAAAACUUCGAUGUUCUUGCUGGGCCUGUGGUUAGUUUGGUUUAGCCACUGUAUGCCUCAAUUCGGGUUAUAGAGACCAAAUCACCAACUGAUGAUCACCAAUGACUUACGUAUUGGAUUCUCUACUUUAUGAUUACACUCUUUGAGCUCACUUUUGCAAAACUUAUUGAGUGAUCAUAAUACGUACUUAAUUGGAGAUGAUGAGCACUGCUACAGUGACAAUCAUGUGUCAAACAUUGAAGGUGGUUCCUAUGCUAAGUGCAUUGAUUUGUCAAAAGACAAGCAACCAGAUAUUUGGAAUUCUAUCAAAUUUGAGACUGGCCAAAUAAAGGAGGUCCUUCUAAGCUACACUCAAAGUUCAUUUGAUUAACCCUUCAGUCAAGGUUCUGUUGUGUGUCUUGGACUGUUUGGCUUUGGUCAAAGGAGUUUUGUGAUAAGCAAAUUAUAAUUUGAAAACAGGUCUUUCAACAUGACAUGUCUUUUGGUGAGGAAUGUUACAAGCGAGGAUGUUAGUUAUUACCACACAUAUGGUUCAGAAGUUUUGGUCACUAGCUUUGUGUAUAACUCUUUAAGUUCAACAAGAAGCUUAGUAGUUUUAGG